GGGGAAGUAGCUCAGUGGUCAGAGCAGGCGGCUCAUAACCGCUUGGUCGCAGGUUCAAAUCCUGCCUUCCCCACCA
rnacentral:tRNA from 1 species